rnacentral:rRNA from 1 species
UACAGAGGUGCCAAGCGUUAGGCGGAAUCACUGGGCUUAAAGGGUGCGUAGGCGGGCUUGUAAGUCAGUGGUGAAAGCCCGGAGCUCAACUCCGGAACUGCCGUUGAUACUGCAAGUCUUGAGUGCACUUGAGGUGGGCGGAAUACAUCAUGUAGUGGUGAAAUACUUAGAUAUGAUGUAGAACACCGAUUGCGAAGGCAGCUCACUAAAUUGCAACUGACGCUGAGGCACGAAAGCGUGGGGAUCAAACAGG